rnacentral:rRNA from 1 species
AGCGAACGCUGGCGGCAGGCUUAACACAUGCAAGUCGAGCGCCGUAGCAAUACGGAGCGGCAGACGGGUGAGUAACACGUGGGAACGUACCUUUUGGUUCGGAACAACACAGGGAAACUUGUGCUAAUACCGGAUAAGCCCUUACGGGGAAAGAUUUAUCGCCGAAAGAUCGGCCCGCGUCUGAUUAGCUAGUUGGUGAGGUAACGGCUCACCAAGGCGACGAUCAGUAGCUGGUCUGAGAGGAUGAUCAGCCACACUGGGACUGAGACACGGCCCAGACUCCUACGGGAGGCAGCAGUGGGGAAUAUUGGACAAUGGGCGCAAGCCUGAUCCAGCCAUGCCGCGUGAGUGAUGAAGGCCCUAGGGUUGUAAAGCUCUUUUGUGCGGGAAGAUAAUGACUGUACCGCAAGAAUAAGCCCCGGCUAACUUCGUGCCAGCAGCCGCCGUAACAC